rnacentral:rRNA from 1 species
UACGGAGGGUGCAAGCGUUAUCCGGAUUCACUGGGUUUAAAGGGUGCGUAGGUGGGCAGGUAAGUCAGUGGUGAAAUCUCUGGGCUUAACCCGGAAACUGCCAUUGAUACUAUUUGUCUUGAAUAUCGUGGAGGUCAGCGGAAUAUGUCAUGUAGCGGUGAAAUGCUUAGAUAUGACAUAGAACACCAAUUGCGAAGGCAGCUGGCUACACGAAUAUUGACGCUGAUGCACGAAAGCGUGGGGAUCAAACAGG